rnacentral:rRNA from 1 species
UUAAGACCNNUUUNGAAAAGCUNGCUUCUCUUGAGAGCGGCGGACGGGUGAGUAAUGCCUAGGAAUCUGCCUGGUAGUGGGGGAUAACGUUCGGAAACGGACGCUAAUACCGCAUACGUCCUACGGGAGAAAGCAGGGGACCUUCGGGCCUUGCGCUAUCAGAUGUGCCUAGGUCGGAUUAGCUAGUUGGUGAGGUAAUGGCUCACCAAGGCGACGAUCCGUAACUGGUCUGAGAGGAUGAUCAGUCACACUGGAACUGAGACACGGUCCAGACUCCUACGGGAGGCAGCAGUGGGGAAUAUUGGACAAUGGGCGAAAGCCUGAUCCAGCCAUGCCGCGUGUGUGAAGAAGGUCUUCGGAUUGUAAAGCACUUUAAGUUGGGAGGAAGAGCAGUUACCUAAUACGUGAUUGUUUUGACGUUACCGACAGAAUAAGCACCGGCUAACUCUGUGCCAGCAGCCGCGGUAAUACAGAGGGUGCAAGCGUUAAUCGGAAUUACUGGGCGUAAAGCGCGCGUAGGUGGUUAGUUAANUUGGAUGUGAAAUCCCCGGGCUCAACCUGGGAACUGCAUUCNAAACUGACUGACUAUAGUAUGGUANAGGGUGGUGGAAUUUCCUGUGUANCGGUGAAAUGCGUAGGUAUAGGAAGGAACACCANUGGCGAAGGCGACCCACCUGGACUUGAUACUGACACUGAGGUG